GCCUCUAUAAAAGCAGCUUAACCACAACACAAAGGUACACAGCCCGUAGUACAGCAGCAGCAUAGCAAGUGAGAAGGGAGAUCAGAUCGAAGAUUCAGACAUGAGGACGCAGCGAAAUGCUCUCUCUUUGCGCGCGCUGCUCCAGAUGGUCUUCAUGCUCAUCGCUGCUUUCCAGGCCGUCUCUGUGCAAGGAGGUACUAGAGGACUUUCACCGUUUGGACUCGGAAGACCUACUGCCGCUGGAGAGGUACACGGCGAGCCUUAUACUGGACGCAGAUGUAUUCCUAUUUACGGUUGUGACCAUCAUGGUGCAGCUCCAUGACUAAGUAUACGAAUAUAGUACUCCUGGCUACCAGCGCUCGCAUGUAUCAGAUAGAAAUAUCCUUCGACGCCUCUAAUUGCAGUGUGGUAUAUCCAAUUUAGGGACCUUUUUUUUUUUUUGAACAUAAGGGGGGUCCGGAAAGACCCCGAUGCUGCAUUAGAAAGACGUCGAUGGAAUACAUCUUACAAGCAAGACCCCCGAAAAGUAAAACAUUACAACCAGGAUCAUAGAAGUUACAGAAAACACCCUGUAUCUGAAAAAGGAAAAGCAAUCAAGGACAGGGCUACGAGCUGCUCCUUCUCCACCGCGACAUCGAUGCAACCAAGCACGAUCAUCUGCUUCACCACCGGGGACUACGCCACUUGGGGUGGAGCAGCGGGAGCACAUCGUCUUGGCGCUAGAGAGCCUCCGCAACGGCAACCAGGCCUGGAGGUAGAUUACCCAUCGCCAUCUGAAGAGCGACCAGGGCGGGAGUGGCUGCCCAUCAGCCAUGAGACUCAGCAGCCAGAAGAUAUCAGGAGCUGCCGAGGAUGAACUCCCAGAAAACGCAGCACGAGCAUCUCGCCAGUGACCUCCAGAUCCACAUCGCCUAGAGCUGCAACAACUCCUCUCCUCGCCUCCACGGCCGGCCAGAGGAUGAAGGCAAUCUCGAAACCACCGCAUCUGGAAUCCACCCCGCCUAUCACCUGCAUCGAGAAAUAGCACAACAGCCUGCGCCCUCCCCUCGCCACCACAGCCGGCCAGAGGGUGCCUGUCAUCACCACCGCUCGACUUGAGCUCAAGGCAACUAAGAGCGAUCUUAUUCAAAGGAGUGGUGGCUCUUGCUCCCGCAACCCACUCCGGCCAGAGGAGCAAGGAAACAAGAAGGAAAAGCCCGAAAGACCGGCAGAUCUGACCGCAGAGAUCCCGGCCUCCACCCCUAGCUACGGGCAUAGAGCCCAGACGCGGCAUAAGCCGAAAAAACAGGAAAAACAGCAACAAGAACUAUACCUAAACUACUCCGGCGCCUCUCAGAACCUGCUCCGGCCGGCUACUCCGGCGGAGAGGCCAGAUCGGCCCGGGAUUCACUCGGAGACUCUCAAGAACACUGUUUUUUUCGAUAAAGACUCAAGAACACUGUAGAGGGAGGAGAGCGGUUCGGGGAUUGGAGUAGAAGAACUUGUGGAAGUCCAAUUUAAAGGAAUGCAUAUGCUAUUUUGUUGGGGUGUGACUAUUUCUCUAUCGAAUGAGAACUAAAUUCGUUCUUAGUCAGAUGCUGUUAUUAAAUUUCAGUUGCAACAUGAGUUAUAAUUUCAUGACUAGCAUGAAUCACGAUGCAAAUUAAAUGGUGUAAGACUUAACUGAGCACUAGCAAAUCCCAUUUUAUUGUGCACCCGGAGUAUCAAUAAAAACAUUAUUUAUCUAAGUGGCCAUGAAGACUAGAGUGGUCCGCCUAAAACUAGCUAAAACCACAUAACUCAAAGGGGUACCAGCAAAUCUCACCAAUCUUUGUGUUUUAAUCACCGGUGAGUUUUAGAGAGCACAAACCACUAAAGCAGAACCCUGAAGACUAUUUCUGUUCUAAUUUCACUGGAAGUUGGAUUGAAAGUACUCCCUCCAAUCCUAAGCAUAAGAUGUAAAAUUUCGUCUAAGACUAAUGCCGUGAGCGAGUCCAGGUGCAGGAGUGAUCGCUAGUUUACCGAAACUGCACCUCCUCAUUAAAUUCCCAUCUCCUCAAAACUCGCUGCAAUUAUACCAAAAACUACUACAUCACACCUCUUCUUAGAUCCGUGAUCACUUCGCAAGCCACCUACUACCUCACACCUCGUGUCCUACCACCGGGUACUACAAGGUUCAUCAACAAAAUCACGAGGACUUUUCUUUUGUCGGCUAAGGAUACCACUACCGGCGCCAAAUGCAAAGUUAAUUUUGAAACUGUGUGCCGUCCCAAGAAGCUUGGAGGGCUUGGUGUCAUGAACUUGGAUAAAUUUGCCACGGCUCUUCGUCUUCGUUGGCUUGGCUUGAGUGGAAAGAUAGCUCUAAAAUUUGGGCGGGCACCAAAAACCCAUGCUCCAAGGAGGACAUGGAAAUCUUCUACGCCGCAACCACCAUUGCCAUCGUUAACGGUUGCAAGACUCCCUUUUGGGAAGCCCCUUGGCUCGAUGGGAGGAAGCCCAAGGACAUAGCAGCGCUCAUAUUCGCUUCUUCGAAAAGGAAAUCUUGGAAUGUCAACAAAGCGUUGGAGGACAAUGCUUGGGUGCGAAUGAUCAUCCUUGAUGAGAGCUUCACCAUGGACCAUCUCUCACAAUUUGUCGGUUUAUGGGUAAAACCUCAAGGAGUGCAUCUACAUGAGGAGGUCGCCGAUGAUAUUUCUUGGAAGCUCACGGCUAAUGGCCAAUACUUGGCCAAGUCGGCCUAUGAAUUGCAAUUUUCAGGCUCCACUUUCUCCUCCCUUCACAAGUCGGUGUGGAAGGUUUGGGCUCCUCCUAAGGUCAAGUUCUUCACAUGGCUUCUCACUCAAAAUAGGAUUUGGACAGCGGACCAGCUUCGAAAGAGCGGGUGGCCAAAUUGUGGGUUGUGUCCUCUAUGCAAGCAAGUGACGGAGUCAGUUAGUCAUCUCUUCAUCCAUUGCCGGUUCUCCGUGCGGCUUUGGUGCUCCCUGAGGGAUUGGUUCAGCCUCCCGGUAUCCAACCAAACCUUUGGGUGGAUCUUUCAAUCAAGACAUGGUGGGACUACAUGACCACUAAUGCCGUUCCUAGCCGCAAAGCCGUGGCCUCCCUCUCCUUGCUUGUUCUUUGGGAAAUUUGGAAUGAGAGGAAUGCGAGGGUUUUCUAUAACAAGCAUGUCCCACAUGCAGUUAUUCUAAAAAAAAUAAGAGUGAAGCCCGCUUGUGGGCUUCCGCGGGCGCAAAACACCUUAGGGAGAUUUUGCCGGGAGAGUAAUCCCUUUGUUUCCACGGUUUAAUACCAUUUUGUAAGGACUAUCUUGUCCAGAAACUUCUUCUUAAUUAAUAAAAUGAGGCAAAGCUUUUACCUCCAUUUAGAAAAAAUAUACCAAAAACUCCGCCGUUUCUUCGGCUUCCGAGAAAAUCAAUUACUGCACACGCCAACCCCAUCAAGAGAAAGAAACCAUGGCUGCUUAGAAUGGUGCUUUGAGUUGACACAUCCAGCAUCAACACCAUUGGCAUGUCCAUAUGCUUCAUGAUCAUCACCAAUUGCACCGCCUCCGUCCAUUGCUCCAUGACUAGCACAGGCAGCACCACAUACAACACCGCCUCUUUCACAACCACUGCGCCCUGCAGCUACGCCUCUUCCACGUCCAUCACGAGCAGGAACAUCUCCACGUCCAGCUUCCGCAUCUCCAUCGCCAGCACCUGCAGCUCUGAAUGGUGGGUGGCGGCUGCCUACACGUGUUGUUGAGGGCGGUGGCGUUCACAUGGUGGGGGAGUGCGGGGAGAGCCCAAGACGUCUGCUUCAUCCGUUGGUAUGGCCUUGAUAUGGAUAUGAAAAAUGAGCUGGAAUAUAACAGGCUCUAUCUUAUCGAAUGGCUUAAUCUUCAUCCCACAUAAAUUAGUUCCAACUACUACUGAAGCAAGAAUCUGAUGCUAACUUCGCCAAGAUUUUGUUCUGCACACAGAAGUGCUCUAGGUUAUGAGGUUUUUCAUGGGGAUCAUCUAUAAUCACAACAAUAGAUGGUGGGCUAACCAGUGCUUGCGGUUAAAUGUAAAAAUAAAGUUUCUAGAGAAUUAGAUUUUGAGUUAAGGGGUUUUCGACGUCAGAGAGUUCUAUAAUUAUACAAGUUUUACAAAUGGCACACAUGAUUUAUCAGUGGCCGAUCCCUUUGGUAGCGCAUUAUGACCAGCUGUUGAUAUGGAGAAACUAGAUGGAUGAUCUUCAAUUUUAAUGAUGAUGACUUAUGCUCGCGUAGUCACAGUCAAAAUAAUCUUUAAUUUUAGUGAUGAAUUUUUUAUUAUCAAGAAAGUUUAUUCAAUCUAAGCACACUCAUUGUGAUGACUCAAGGCAUUUAGUUUCAUUAUAAGUUGUAAUGAUGUGAACAAUAAAUUUUGUCAGUUUAUUUAUGUAUAUCGGCCAGAUUUGUUGGACUUCUUAUGAACCUGGUUCAUCCUAAAUGCUUUUGUAACCUAUGUACCUCGUCUAUUUUCAUAAAUUUCCUUGUUUAUGCAAUAGUUAUAAUUGCAGUUUGUACUUUUUUGUUGCUACGAGCAGUCAUCUCGAUGCCUCUAUUUAUCAACGUAUAUUUUUUCGAUAAAGAUAAAUUACGUAUACGAUGUUGGUCUUCAAUUUAAGGAUUAUAGUGAGAUCGAUAUAUUGUGUUCUUCAGAAAAUGAAAUCUUACAUGUAUGAUUUAUAGUAGGCUCGAAUUGUGUUAAAAAAUUAGAAAAUAUUUUAAUAGAAUUAAACUAAAAUUUAAAUUACAUUAAACUUAAUAAUAAUUUAAACCUAGUCUCAUUGUUGGAGGACACAACUAUACUCCUAGCCUCGGUCGCAGACAACCGCAAGAGACCGCUUCGACACUCAACAUAUACAGCCAACACAACUAACACACAAUUAAAUGUAGAAAAACGCAUAUCAGCCUAAACUGGCAUAUCAGGGCUCAUAUGUAUUUCUAUUCAUCAAUUUCGCUAUCAAGAUGGAUAAUAUAGAAUUAUGUAAUUUGGGACGUUAGAUAUAUAAUAUAUAUAAUAUUACUACAACCUUUAAUCCUGUUGAAUACCCAGUCUGGUGAGGCUACCUCCGAUUGGUGCAUUUACAGUCGUUGGAUCUCCAUCUUAGAUGAUCUAGGUCGUCCGUUUGAUCUGGUCGGUGAGAGUUUAAGCACUUUGCUAUGUGUCUCUCUUCCGGCUGACAUUGGGUCCCAUGGCUACAAUUCACAGCAAAGAGUAAUCUCCAUGGUGUAAAGAGGCAAAAGGUUUUCACCCAUUCACUCACACACGCGCCCCCAGACCCAAUCCCGCAGGCCGCAGCUCACUCAUUCUUUCUUUCUCCUCUGUCCUAGAGUUUAGGGUUCACCGCCGCCGCCCCCACACCCGUCGCCGCCCUCACAACCCACACAUCAGACGCCGACUCCGCCGCCCUCCCCACUCCCUAGCCGUCGUGCCGUGUACCGAGGCAGCCAUCGGGGCAUUAUUCUCCUUCCCAAGAUCCUUCCGAGGCAUAUGGCGGCGCGGAAACUGAUUUCAGCCCCUACCUCUCCUUCCCGAGGUGGCGAAUGGCGAGGAAGAGGACUUUGGCGCCCUCCUCUUCCUCCUGAGGUAGCGCAGCUAUGGGACGAGCCGGCGCGGCCAGUGCUCGUGGUUCAAGACAUUCGUCUCGCAGGACAACGCAAGCCGGCCGUCCGGCGCGCUGUACAUAUGGAGAACAUCUUUGAGAGGUGACCGCCAAUGUUGGCAAGGGCACGAUAAUCUCGAGGACGGUGCAGUAUGUUUCGUUUCUCAUUUUCCCUCUUUUUUUUCAAUUGAAUAUGUGAUUGUUCGAUGAAUUAGAGUGGUUUGGUCACAGCGAUGAUUAGAUGAUGGAUGGUGCAAAUCAAUGCUUGGAUGUAUGUUGAACACAUGCUUCGUCAAGUUUGCUUGAUUGGAGUAUAUGCAGGUUUGCUAGCUAUGGGAAGACACAAGUGUCGCAAACCAGCGAGCUCGACCAUGGUAUGUUCAAGCGUCUAUUCCCGUUGUCGUCGCCGGCAAAGCACGUCUGCGCUCUCCUCACGCCUCGGUCAGCGAAGGCCUCCCCGAGGGUGGCAAGCCGGUGCUAGGUGUGGACAAGAGCUUCGGCUUCUCCAAGCACUUAUCCGCCAAGGCGAGUGCAGCAGACUGAACAUAGGACUGACCAAGCUGAUUGCUAAGGAUGACUGGUCGUAUCUAGCUCCAAGCAAUGUUGGAAGAGAUCAUAUACUCCCAUGGAAGGGUGUGUUUGUUCAAGAAAUGCUUAGGCAUAAGCGGCAAGCUGCUGACGUUAUUUUCUUCUGUCAUCGAGGCUACCCAGCAGCAGAUCCAUGAACCAAAAAAUCUGAAACAGCUAAGCUGCCUGCUGCGUGCUACCACUUUUUUUUCUUGAGAAACUGUGUAGCCCAGAAUUUAGCAGCUAGCACAUAACAUCAUCUAGAAUUUUAUUAGUUGUUGUUUAAUCAUGUCGUUGCCGGAUCCUAAAUAUCCUGUUUUGUUUAUGCGCACUGAUAUUUGACAGUAACUAGAAUGUGAUUGUUCGAUGACAGUAACUAGGAUCCUAAAUAUCCUGUUUUGUUUUUCA